UCCUGAGAUCUUAUCAGGAAGCGGCUCAUCACCAGCUUCAGGUGUUUCUAUUUAUUGGGAGACUGUCUUUCCCUGGCACCAGUUGCAACCAAUUAUUACUUUAGAGAGACAGUUUAACAACUGCCUGACCAUCACCUGAUGGUUGCCUGACAUUCCUGGGACUCCAGGUAAGAGCCCAGGCCAAAGGACACCUUGAUUUUGACCUUGUCAGACCUGGAAUUGAAAAACCAGCUGCACCCUUCUAGAAUUCUUACUUACAAAACUGAAGAUGUUACAGGACAAAAUGAUUUCACUGGGAGCUGAGUUUUGCCAGAUUUGGGGAAAUACUGAUGCAGAACAUCAUUUAUUGAAGGCUGAUACUUAUGGGUAGAAGAGUCAAAGUGCGAAUAUAUCCACACUUCUCUAUGGAUUCUGCAGAAAGAUAUGCUUGGGUCGUGACUCAGCUAUUUACAAAGUUGCUGGUGACUAAUUGCUGGAAAGAAGCUGUGAUGUUAUGUGGCCCCUCCAUUUUAUGUCCCCUCCCUUUAGUUCUGUAGGAAAUUGAGUUCAGGAAAGCUACUAGGAAUAAAAAUCUUAGUUUUUA